CAGCCAAUGAGAGACAGUCACAACUCAGACAAUGAGAAGCCACUACACUUCAACCUUGCAGUUUUCCCCCAAAGACUCUGUUUACAUCAUGCCCUCCCCACCUCCCCACUUUUUUUCUACAAGAGUUCUCCUCUCCUUUGUUCUCCAGACUUGCCUACAGUUUUGCUGAACUUGGCUUGUCCUGCAUUGCAAUUCUCUGUUAUUCCUGAAUAAACCCAUCUUUUGCUGGUAAAAUGGCUAGCAGUUUUGUUUUUAAGGUUAAGGGAGCCCUGCAGGAAAGGAGGCCGAUGCAGUUUCUUUGUGCACAUGUGCUCCCAGGAUCUUUGGGAGACAUUGAAGCAGAUGUGUUUUGAUGCAGCCAGAUGAGGAUGAAGACAUCUGGUGACUACAGUUUUGGGGCAGACUCCUCGAAUCAAAGACGUGGGGGCCGUGUUCAGUGUGUGCUCUCCCCAGCUCACAUAGGUUAUACCUUUACUCAGCCACCAGAGGUCUGGACGUAUUGACCUUGGGACAGACUCAGAACGGACACGCUAACUCAGCAAAGAGCCACCACUGACUCUGCUGAACUUCACUCCACUUCAUGGGACAGUGGACCGCAGGACAUCACACUGCCCACAAGGUAGCCUCUCACUGGAUUUUGAAGACAGGGGCAAACAUUCUAGGCCAGAGUGGGGCCAACGAUGGCCCACAGGCCACCUCUGGCCUGCCACCUGUUUCUAUAAAUAAACUUUUAUUGGAAAGAGGUAUUCGUUGACACGUUGUCUGCAGCCUUAGGCACAGUUGGUCCUUGUGACAGACAUCACAUGGAUCACAAAUCCAAAAAUACUGACUAUCUGGCCCUUUAAAGGAAAAAUAAAGUGUACUGAGCCCUAUUCUAGACCCAUCCUAAAUAUUUGGGUUGGGUGUCCAAACUUGGCCAGGUUGGCCACCUCCCGCCCUUUGGAUGCACAUGCUGGAGCAUGCAACUAUGGAAGUCACAGGUCUUUCCAUGUUAAAGAAACCGGGUGAGGCUUACCUUGAAGUGAAACAUGCAUCCAGAAGAGUGAAUGAGCAGAUACAUGAACAAUUUUAUGAAGAGCCCCAAACUGAUCAAACCCAUGAGACAGAGUAUGGCCAGCACCCUAGAGUCCUCCUCCUGCCACCUUUAGUGACUUACCUUCAGCUGAA
rnacentral:lncRNA from 1 species